GUUUGGAUGAGAUUAAUAGCCAGGCAACUGGAAGAUCAGAUUGCCAAACCAUGUACUCAAGUUGAGUCUGUAUUUAUUGCUGUUUAAUAUGGAAAGAACUUUUUAAAGAGACGGAGUCUAAAAUCUGCUCUGGAGUUCAGAGGGUGGCAUGAGCCUGUCUCUGGGAAACAAAGUUGGUGAUAUAAUUCAGGAGUAUAGUGAUGACUUGGUAGCAUGAGCCAAGUACAAAACAAGGUGUUCAGCUUUGUGCACUCCACACCCCCCAGCUCCUAGACCAAUGCCAGGCCUUUUUCUGUGCGCCACGUUGACACUCAAUGAAGGCAAUGAAAUGAAAAGGCUAAAGAUGAUGUAUUUGUGGAAACCAACUGAGGUGAUGGCGUCUUCUCUGCACUGAAGAUGAUCCAAUGGACCUACUUUAUGGCACGUCACUUAUGAAACAAAGGGACAAACCAGUGACCCAGUGUCAGAAAAAAACGAGAGAACUAACUUGUUCUUCCCACUGGUUUGAAAAUUCCUUUGAAUGUGAGAAUCACAAAAAGUAAUUUGCAAACAGCAUUUCCACUAAGUCAAUAAGAACAUUUGCCAAGUUGAUGAUAAUGACGGCUAUAUUCAAAUUAGAAGUUACUCUGUGAGCAUCGUGCCUUUUCCGGUCAUAAGCCAAGGUAUCACAUCUGAGUCCAUUUAUCUGAGG
rnacentral:lncRNA from 1 species